GUGUGUGUUCUGGUCGAAUACUCCAGAGAAGACAGCAGCUCCCUAUAUCAAACCCUAACUAGCUCAAAAUUGACAAAUUGAAAGGGGAAAUCUAACCCAAAUCGAAAUCCAAGUACAAAUUCGUGAUCACCUCGGUGAAGGGAUCAUAAGUUUGACACUUAACGAGCAAGGUGGAGGGUUGGGAAGAAAGGGUCAAACGAAUCAAGAAGGAAAAGAAAAGCGUAGCUCGGAUACGAGGAAUUUAACCCAUGGUUCGCAUUGCUAUUGAUUAGAAAUUAAUAGCAAAAGGUAUUAAAUGGGUCAAUCCCAUGACUCGAGCCAGGUAAAGAUGCUCUUUAGACCCCGGAGGAUGAUCAAGCCAUGUCAAGAACCGAACACACCGAACAAAGCUUCCGUAUUUUGUCUAUUUUGUUUUAUGACAUGUAAACACUUGAAAUUAUGUUUUGAAAGUUUAUCUAGCAUGAUGUAGGCUUGAAUGUUAUGAUCAAGUAUGAUCUUAAAACCAUGAGGUUUUUGUAAACUCGAAAAAUUCUGUACUAAAUGCUUGAUAAAUGUCAUAAAUCCUGUUAUUUUAA